UCCAGAUACUGUAGAUUCUUGAGUUCACCAAGUUCUGGUCCUAAUGUUCCAGAAAUAUUAGAAUUGCCCAAAUCCAGGCGAAUAACAUUAUUAUCUGAGUCACAGGUAACAUGAAACCAUGUACAAGGAUUUACAAGUGUAGGGUCCCAGCUUUGUAGAACAUUUUUUGGGUCAGAAAGUUUGGUUCUCAAAGAAUGCAAAGCAGUCCCUUCAGAAUUUGUGGAGAAGGCAGGAGGAAUACAAAGAAUGAUUUGGAAGUAGAAGAAGAAGAGAAAUGAGGAAGGAAAAGCCAUUGAAAAAAUGGAGAAAGAAUGGAAGUUUUAG
rnacentral:misc_RNA from 1 species